UAUAAUCUCAGCAUUUCUAAAACAUUUCCUGCAGCCCUGUUCUCAUCAUUCUUUAUCUGUACACAGAAUCAAAGCUUGUAUCAGAAUUUCAGCAGAACUCUGUGGAUAUUUGUGUGUGUGGUGUUACUUGGCAGUUGUGUAGCUGCCUGAAUGCCUUUAUCUUUGUUUGUUCUGGGUGAUUGAGCAUAUAUUUGUAGCUUAAUUAUCUGUCUAUGCAGGCUGCCUACUGGAUUCCUCUGAAUAAGUCAGUGACAUAUUCCUUCCCGCCUGGGCAACGAGCGUUUCCUUACUUAUUGUGCACCGUGAGUUGUUUUAGAGAAUGGUUCACUUAUACGUUGGUCUCGGCUCAGUUUCAAAGAGUCUGUGAUGUCAGUUUCCUGAGGAUGUCUGAGGAACUGGAGAAGCCAGGCCAAAUAUGGUUUCCAGGCAUUCAGUGUUUAAUUUGUGUAACUUGGAGACCUUGAUGGGUGGAGUUCGGCACAGUAAGGCAGCUGGGAGUUUUGCAAGAUCAUUUCAAUUUUUCCUUGAAACUGUUGAUCUCUGUUUCAUUAGAAAAAAUUUUGUACUUUAUUUUGGCCAGUGGUGUUUACAUUGGAGCAGAUUAAUGAGUGGAUGUACGGAAUUUAUCAGCAGGUUUGUGGAAGAAAAGCAUCAGUUUGGCUUCCCUGAAAUCUUUUGCUGCGAAAUGGUUGGUCUCCAGUGGUUUGCUUCAUCAUUUUCUGUGUCGAAAUGAUCCACUCACCUCUUCAUGUGAAGGGGGAAGGAAGGAAGGAGGAAGGAAAAGUGAAAGAGCGCGCUCUGUACUGUGCUGUCUUAAACUCUGAUGCAGUUGCGGUCAAAAUGGGGAACUGGUAGCGUCCGCCAACUUAUAGAUUUCUAUUCAUAUGCUUAAGUUUGUGUGACUACGACAUGUCUGGGUUAAAACUGACCUCAAGACUUCUAGUGAAAGGAUGUGAUGUCCUCAAAGACGUUUCUGUUACUUAAAAUGAUGAUGGUGAGCAUUAGCUAACCCGUGACGCAACUGAGAGAUUUCGCAGUUUUCAUACAUCAUGCAGGUCUGGCUUUCACUCAGUGGGCUUGACCUUUUGUGAGUUUGAGCCACACAAACAAGUUUUAAUGUUCUGGUUGUUUGGUGUGGUGUCACUGUGGGACUGUGGGAGGAAUCCCAGGCAAGCAUGGGAAGAACAUGGAAACUCCACACAGAAAGGCCCCAUGUGACCAGGAGAUUUAAAACCAGAACCUUUAUGUUGUGGGGAGACAGCGUGCUAACCACCGCACCAUUGUGCAUUAGAAAACAAAGCUUUGAUUCAAAGUGCGGUCUGUGGGUUUAGUACUUGACGUUGGUAACAUUUCAUGUGUCUCUUAAGUGCAAAAUAAAGUCCACUGCUGUGCUUUUCUUUCAACCAGGACUCAUGGCGUAUUAGCAUAUAGCAACACAAAAUGAUGCUAAAGGAACAUUUUA
rnacentral:lncRNA from 1 species